UACGUAGGGUGCAAGCGUUGCCCGGAAUUAUUGGGCGUAAAGCGCACGUAGGCGGCAUUGCAAGUCGGAUGUGAAAUCCCUCGGCUUAACCAAGGAAGUGCAUCCGAAACUGCAGUGCUUGAGUACUUAAGAGGAUCGCGGAAUUCCCGGUGUAGAGGUGAAAUUCGUAGAUAUCGGGAGGAACACCGGUGGCGAAGGCGGCGACCUGGGUGGAUACUGACGCUGAGGUGCGAAAGCGUGGGGAGCAAACAGG
rnacentral:rRNA from 1 species